rnacentral:rRNA from 1 species
GAAACAGGUGCUAAUACCGUAUAACACUAUUUUCCGCAUGGAAGAAAGUUGAAAGGCGCUUUUGCGUCACUGAUGGAUGGACCCGCGGUGCAUUAGCUAGUUGGUGAGGUAACGGCUCACCAAGGCCACGAUGCAUAGCCGACCUGAGAGGGUGAUCGGCCACACUGGGACUGAGACACGGCCCAGACUCCUACGGGAGGCAGCAGUAGGGAAUCUUCGGCAAUGGACGAAAGUCUGACCGAGCAACGCCGCGUGAGUGAAGAAGGUUUUCGGAUCGUAAAACUCUGUUGUUAGAGAAGAACAAGGAUGAGAGUAGAACGUUCAUCCCUGACGGUAUCUAACCAGAAAGCCACGGCUAACUACGUGCCAGCAGCCGCGGUAAUACGUAGGUGGCAAGCGUUGUCCGGAUUUAUUGGGCGUAAAGCGAGCGCAGGCGGUUUCUUAAGUCUGAUGUGAAAGCCCCCGGCUCAACCGGGGAGGGUCAUUGGAAACUGGGAGACUUGAGUGCAGAAGAGGAGAGUGGAAUUCCAUGUGUAGCGGUGAAAUGCGUAGAUAUAUGGAGGAACACCAGUGGCGAAGGCGGCUCUCUGGUCUGUAACUGACGCUGAGGCUCGAAAGCGUGGGGAGCGAACAGGAUUAGAUACCCUGGUAGUCCACGCCGUAAACGAUGAGUGCUAAGUGUUGGAGGGUUUCCGCCCUUCAGUGCUGCAGCAAACGCAUUAAGCACUCCGCCUGGGGAGUACGACCGCAAGGUUGAAACUCAAAGGAAUUGACGGGGGCCCGCACAAGCGGUGGAGCAUGUGGUUUAAUUCGAAGCAACGCGAAGAACCUUACCAGGUCUUGACAUCCUUUGACCACUCUAGAGAUAGAGCUUCCCCUUCGGGGGCAAAGUGACAGGUGGUGCAUGGUUGUCGUCAGCUCGUGUCGUGAGAUGUUGGGUUAAGUCCCGCAACGAGCGCAACCCUUAUUGUUAGUUGCCAUCAUUUAGUUGGGCACUCUAGCGAGACUGCCGGUGACAAACCGGAGGAAGGUGGGGAUGACGUCAAAUCAUCAUGCCCCUUAUGACCUGGGCUACACACGUGCUACAAUGGGAAGUACAACGAGUUGCGAAGUCGCGAGGCUAAGCUAAUCUCUUAAAGCUUCUCUCAGUUCGGAUUGUAGGCUGCAACUCGCCUACWUGAAGCCGGAAUCGCUAGUAAUCGCGGAUCAGCACGCCGCGGUGAAUACGUUCCCGGGCCUUGUACACAC